CUAGACAACCAGAAACAUAAAUUAGUGUCGAAUUCAAUCAAACACGCGCCGAUGGAAUCAAUUAUAUAUGGUCGAUCGAGCAACGUUAAUGGAUUUUAAUCGAGUUAUUUUAUGAAUAUGCAGCAAGUACACACAACAUACAGACCAUCCCUUCGCCUAAGCUGACUUCACUUUGUGACAUUAGCCUAUCAGCCUGCAACCAGCAACGGACAACGGGCAACACACGCACGAACCAUUCGCAAAAUGGCCAACGCUGCCAAGUUGGCAGGCGCAGCAGUAACACAUUUGAAUACAUUUCAAAUAUAUACUAAUUAUUUCUGCAAACAGAAUCAAAUAACACCGCAGUCAAUUAAAUUAGCAACAUUUUUAAAGAUUGAAAUAGUCAAAAUAAUAAAACAAAAAUUGUUUAUUAACCUAAACUGGUUGCAGAUAAUGAAAUGUCAAAACUUUUUUGACUCAUUGUUUAAAAACAUGACUUGCAAAAGUUAAUAUUUUUACUUCUAUGCAUCUAGUAUUAAAUUACGUACAUAUAUUUACUAAUAUUGCAAAGAUUACAGUUUUAUAUCAAAAGUUACAAGCAUUAACAGAUUAGUAAAUUUUUGUCAGCAUUUUUGCAGGUUAUGACCUUUUAUCACUUAUUUCAUUCAUUAUUAGACUAAAAUAAACCAAAUAAAACGAAAUAUAAACAUUUACCAUAAAUACAACGAGUAGAAAUGCAAUAAAGAACUUUUGAUUGAACAAAACUACAAAAGAAAAGCGGCAACAACGCCUCUACAAGCAAACAUUACACUCACACAUAUAAAUUGAAAAAAAACUUGCUAGCAUAUCAUUUAAAGCGCGGCGCGCUUUUAAACAAUUUCCUUUACAAACACCUAAAUAAACUAGAAGGCGAACGCAGCGCACACAUUCAGUCUUCACUAGCAGGCUGAUAAACGAACGUCACACGAAAAAUUUCCAUUGUAAGCAAUACAGUUGCAUUCAUUCACGCUUUACAUUCACACACCUUGAUUCAUCACACCACGUAUCAAGCAUUUCUAUAAUAAAUUCUCACCUGCGAUUUAGCUCGGGCGGAAGCACACUCCAAUCCGAUUCGAAAUACGGAUACAUCCUUUUGUGUAUCUCUCAAUUAAUAAUCAGUUAUGCGUUGAAACUAGUCAAUGAUUAGUAACAGAUGCGCCGUGUCAGAAAUUUUCUAUCAAUUACAUUAUCAAAGAUGUGAAGCGAGCUUGGAAAUGCACACAGUGUACGCAGGUACAUUGAUAAGGCUUAUCGCGAUACAUUUGUUACAUUUCACACGAUUUAUCUCGGUCUGACGUGUUUACCAUUUGACUGCCGUGCGUAUAAAAGGCACUAAAGAGAUUUCUACGUUAAUAAAAUGUUUGUUCUAUUUACAAAUUACUUGAAAUUAAAUAUUGUACAUAUUGUGAAGAGUGCAGUGUGUGUUUACAGUGUGUAUAAAUGUAUUUUUAUAUAAAUAAAUAUUGAUUUUCUUUAAGUA